rnacentral:rRNA from 1 species
GGCCUGGCUGACCGGUCCGCCUCACCGCGUGUACUGGUCCGGCCGGGCUCCCACCAUAGUCUAACCGCAUGCCCUUCACUGGGUGUGUUGGCGAAACUAUAUUUUUACUUUGAAAAAAUUAGAGUGCUCCAGGCAGGCCUAUGCUCGAAUACAUUAGCAUGGAAUAAUAGAAUAGGACGUGUGGUUCUAUUUUGUUGGUUUCUAGGACCGCCGUAAUGAUUAAUAGGGACAGUCGGGGGCAUCAGUAUUCAAUUGUCAGAGGUGAAAUUCUUGGAUUUAUUGAAGACUAACUACUGCGAAAGCAUUUGCCAAGGAUGUUUUCAUUUAUCAGGAACGAAAGUUAGGGGAUCGAAGACGAUCAGAUACCGUCGUAGUCUUAACCAUAAACUAUGCCGACUAGGGAUCGGACGAUGUUAUUUUUUGACUCGUUCGGCACCUUACGAGAAAUCAAAGUGCUUGGGCUCCAGGGGGAGUAUGGUCGCAAGGCUGAAACUUAAAGAAAUUGACGGAAGGGCACCACCAGGGGUGGAGC